AAACUUUCAACAACGGAUCUCUAGGCUCUUGCAUCGAUGAAGAACGCAGUGAAAUGCGAUACGUAAUGUGAAUUGCAGAAUCUCGUGAAUCAUUGAAUCUUUGAACGCACAUUGCGCCCUUUGGUAUUCCAUAGGGCAUGCCUGUCUGAGCGUCAGCA
rnacentral:rRNA from 1 species